ACUAAGGAAGUAAAAUUGCUAUGAUCUAAUGAAAACAGAUUUCUUCGUGUCGAACCUCGAGCCUCCUUCAUAGUCCGAAGCGUACUUAGCCUCUCGACCACACUUCCAACUUUCAAUGUCUGGAGAGACUCGUUAACGUAGACUGAUAUAGAUUGACAUCAGUUCAUUUAUUGGUGGGAUCUAGAUCUACGAGGUGUGUCAGAAAAGUAAGACCGAUUUAUUUAUUUACCAAACGUUUUUUUAAAAUGUUUUUCAAACAGCAAUGUUAUCCCUUCACAAUAGUUUCCUUUGGGCAGCUACACACCGAUGGAGACGUUGUUCCGACAUUUGGUAGCAGCGCUGGAAGUCUUCCACUGGUGUAGUCUUCCACGGGUGUAGUCUUCCACUGGUGUAGUCUUCAGCCGGUCCGUUACCCUCUAUUGGAGGUCUUUCUUAAGUCCCGAAAAGACGUCAUUUGAGGACGUUUUGUUAGUUUAGGAAAAAAGAAAAGGGGCUGAGUUCAGGUGAACAUGAGGGGUCAGAAACCACAGGGAUGAGGGGCUGAGGUCAGGUGAACACGAGGGCUGGGUAGCCACAGGAAUGAGGGGCUGAGGUCAGGUGAACACGAGGGCUGGGUAGCCACAGGAAUGAGGGGCUGAGGUCAGGUGAACACGAGGGCUGGGUAGCCACAGGAAUGAGGGGCUGAGGUCAGGUGAACAUGAGGGCUGGGUAGCCACAGGAAUGAGGGGCUGAGGUCAGGUGAACAUGAGGGCUGGGUAGCCACAGGAAUGAGGGGCUGAGGUCAGGUGAACAUGAGGGGUGGGAAACCACAGGUAUGAGGGGCUGAGGUCAGGUGAACACGAGGGCUGGGUAGCCAUAGGAAUGAGGGGCUGAGGUCAGGUGAACAUGAGGGCUGGGUAGCCACAGGAAUGAGGGGCUGAGGUCAGGUGAACAUGAGGGCUGGUAGCCACAGGAAUGUGAGGCUGAGGUCAGGUGAACAUGAGGGCUGGGUAGCCACAGGAAUGAUGGGCUAAGGUCAGGUGAACAUGAAGGCUGGUAGCCACAGGAAUGAGGGGCUGAGGUCAGGUGAACACGAGGGCUGGGUAGCCACAGGAAUGAGGGGCUGAGGUCAGGUGAACAUGAGGGCUGGGUAGCCACAGGAAUGUGAGGCUGAGGUCAGGUGAACAUGAGGGCUGGGAAACCACAGGAAUGAGGUCUAAAAUUCUAUGAAGGAGAGGGCAGUGUGUCAUGAAUGGGCAUCCACUUGUCUCCUAUGUCUGGUAUCAUGCGAGAUCUCCUCGACCAAAGAAAGCUGGAAUGAGCAAAUCUGAAGGGGAAUCAUCCAGGACACCCUUUUAGUCCUCUAUCAUGACUCCUGACUUGACUUAUUCAUGUGAGCCCCCAUGGGAGCAUAGGGCCGCAGCCACAACUUCU
rnacentral:sRNA from 1 species